CACAUACUCCCUCCGUUCGGAAUUACUUGUCGCGAAAAUGGAUGUAUCUAGAACUAAAAUACGUCUAGAUACAUCCAUUUCUGCGACAAGUAAUUCCGAACGGAGGGAGUACAAC
rnacentral:pre_miRNA from 1 species